GGGUGUUAGAAAAAAAAAGAGAAUUCUCCCUAAGCCAAGCCGAAGAUCCGGCGGCAUCCAUGUCGUAUCGCUCCCUGCUGCACAAGAGGAUCCUCCCCGCCGCCGCCGCCGCCGCCACCGCCGCCGCCGGAGCUGCUCUCCGGCGACCGGCGGCCGGCUCUCGCCUUCUCCAAGCCCGACUUCACCAGGGUAAUGGAAGGCAACGCAGCAGCAGUGCAUUUCUGACGCUGGUUUUAGAGACAGCGAGAAGGAUAUCGAUAGGGAAAUAGAACAGCUCGCUCAAAAGUUCGAAGAAAACAGCAAACGGUGGAAGCAAGAACGGGAGGAGUUGGACAACCUCAGGAGGUUGGAUUUGGAAGAGAUAGAGAAAUCCAGAGAGAGAACACAAAAGAUUUUAGACGUCGCCACUGGUGUUAGUGCUGGGUUUUUCCUCGUGGGUAUUGCAAGCUAUAAUAAUCUGAUAUAGCUUAAUGAGAUGUUACCAUCGGAGGCAUCUGUUUUUCAGUUUAUAUUGUAACUAUUUAUUGUAGUAUUAAUAAAUGUUCAGUGUUGCCAGGAAGGUGGAAAUGCCUUGUCUUCUUUACCUACUUUAUUUAUCCGUCCUAAAAUAUAAUGGAUUUUGGGUGUACGUUCUUGUGUAUGUGGCGCCUCGAGAAUCAAGCUACUUGUACUCUUGUUGUAUGAGGUAAUAUAGGAAUU